rnacentral:rRNA from 1 species
UAGGGAAUAUUGCGCAAUGGACGAAAGUCUGACGCAGCGACGCCGCGUGAGUGAUGAAGGCCUUAGGGUCGUAAAGCUCUGUUGAAUGGGAAGAAAUAAAUGACGGUACCAUUCGAGGAAGGACCGGCUAACUUCGUGCCAGCAGCCGCGGUAAUACGAGGGGUCCUAGCGUUGUUCGGAAUCAUUGGGCGUAAAGGGUGUGUAGGUGGCUAUGUAAGUCAGGUGUGAAAGCCCCGGGCUCAACCCGGGAAGUGCAUCUGAUACUGCGUAGCUUGAGUACCGAAGAGGAUAGUGGAAUUCCAGGUGUAGUGGUGAAAUACGUAGAUAUCUGGAGGAACACCGGUGGCGAAGGCGGCUAUCUGGUCGAGUACUGACACUGAGACACGAAAGCAUGGGGAUCAAACA